UGCUAAAGUUUUUGAUGAUAUAUCUUCCUUUAGCGAAGAGUUAAUAAAUUCCUUUUCUCAAGUUUUAAAGAAAGUCCCGCUUGUAGGUACGUUCGAGUAAAAUAUAUAUAUAUAUAUAUAUUGUUGUUGUACGUUUAUCUGAAAAUGCUUAAAAGUAUAUCACAUUUGAAUAUAUUCUACUUUUAUUUUACGCUAACAUAUGCAUACAUACAUACAUAAAUAAAUACAUACGUACAUACAUACAUACACUCAUAAACACAUAUAUCUCUCUCAGUACUCAAAGAAAAAGUAAAAAUUCAAAUUGCAAAAGCGUCCGAAAGUUUAAAGGUACCUAAUCCAGAAGGCGAGCUAUGUGAUAUUAAUUACUCAAACGUUUGUCCAGAAGGAUGGGGUAACUAUGGAGAUGGAACAACAUGUUUAAGUCCAGUAAAUUACAAAGGACCUUGUGACAAGAAAAUGUCUUUUAAAAAUGCUACACCAAUAAGUAAAUAUAACUUUUCUAUAAAAUGUAAUGUAUCAUGGCCCUGUAUGGGUAAAUGUGAAGAAGAUUUUGAAAAAGAGUGUCCUGAUGGUUGGUCUUUAAUAAAUUAUAUUUGCUAUGCUCCUGAAAAUUACGAGGGGAAUUGUGUAAGAUCUAAAAAUUUUUCUACGUUUUCUAAAUCAGAAAAAAAAGUAUGGGCGGAUAUAUGUAAUGUUAGUUGGUCAUGUUAUGAAAAAAGUUACAACUUUAACAAUUUGUGUCCAUUAAAUUGGAAAACUAAUCCAGACAAUAAAACCUGUUCAGCACCUGAUACUUAUGUUGGACCAUGUAACAAUAUUUUAUAUUUAUAUAAUUUAAAAGAGGAAGAAAAAAAAAGUUUGAAAAAAAUAUGUAAUAUAGAAUGGAACCAUAUAAAUAAUAACAAAGAAUAUGAUUUACAAGCGCUAUGUCCUAUUGGAUGGAAAAUAACUGAUGUAGGUAUUUUACAAUGUGAAGCACCUUCUUCUUAUAAUGGACCGUGUGAAAAAAAAAUAUCAUUUUUAAAUUUUAGUAAAGAGGAAAAAUAUUUAUAUUCACAACGUUGUGAUAUUAAAUGGCCAUUGCUAGAUGAACAUAUACAAAAUUUUGAUUUGCCUUGUCCUUAUAAUUGGGUUUUGUUAGAUAAAGAAGAAAAUAUAUGUGCAUCUCCCAUAGAAUAUUUAGGACCAUGUGAAAAUAUAUUAUCUUUUAAAAAUUUUACAAAAGAAAUGAAAGCUGCCUGGGCAUCAGUUUGUAACGCUGUAUUUAUUAACGACAGUGCAUAUGUUCUUAACACUAGAAAUAAAAAUACAAAUACAUGGAGGAAUAGAAAAACUAAAAUUUUUGGACUAAACAAGUCAAAAAAUACUUUAGAUAUAAACACACCCUCAGUUAAUAAUGGACCAAUUGGUUACACAAAUUCUAUAUAUGAAGGAAUGAUAUUAAAUGCAGAUGAUACAACGAAAUAUUUAACAAAUAAUAAAAAGGGCAAAAAAUAUAAAAAUAAAGAUAUACAAAUUGAAGAUAUUGGAGAGAGUAACUACAAUAAUAAUACUAAUGACAGUUCGUUCAUUUUAAAUGAUAAGAAAAUUACUGAUUUAAUUUUACUAAAAGAAUCUUCUACAGAUGAAGAAUUAAAAGCUAAUAUAGAUGAAACAAUAAAUGAAGUAAAAAAAAGGCUACUACGACAAAACAAAUCUUUUUCUUUUAUUCAACUGACAAAAAAAAAUCAUACUAUAAAUGAUAAUAUAAAUAAAAAUGAAUUAGUUAACACAAAUAAAUUAACAAAUAACAUAAACAAAUUACAUAUAGACACAUUGAAUGAUCUAAAUGGUAGUAAUGAAAAA
ensembl:lncRNA